CAGCCGCCACGGGAAUACGUAGGGGGCAAGCGUUGUCCGGAAUUAUUGGGCGUAAAGCGCGCGCAGGCGGUUCUUUAAGUCUGGUGUAUAAGUGCGGGGCUCAACCCCGUGAGGCACUGGAAACUGGGGAACUUGAGUGCAGAAGAGGAGAGCGGAAUUCCACGUGUAGCGGUGAAAUGCGUAGAGAUGUGGAGGAACACCAGUGGCGAAGGCGGCUCUCUGGACUGUAACUGACGCUGAGGCGCGAAAGCGUGGGGAGCAAACAGGAUUAGAUACCCCCGUAGUCCCUGUCUCUUAUACC
rnacentral:rRNA from 1 species